rnacentral:lncRNA from 1 species
GUUAUGCUUGUCUUUUCCACUAUUUUCCUUUAUCUCUUUGAGAAUACUGAUUAUACUUGCCUUACAUUUAAUUUUUCGUUUAUAUUGUUUUUGGCCCGCCAACUCUUCUUUAUGCGAUGUAAGGUAGAGGGAUUUACCUCAAAUUGGAGAUUUUCUAACUUUACAAGCUUUGUUGAACUACUCUUUGUGGGUCUCUCUCCACAGUCAGCAACGCUACCCUUAGGGAUCCUCCAUUCCUCCUCUGUGGUCCUAGCAGCAAUGGUGGGGAAGAGCCAGCCAAAAUGCCUGAGAAUCUCCUGUUAUUCACCUUCUACAACAGCAAGAUUUCAUUUAUGGAGACUUUGUGAACUCUACGUCCUCUCCAUCAAGCCCAGCAUUGCUGAGAAAUGAGGAAGAAAUAUUUGGACAAAAGGAUGCGGACACCGAAAAAAGAAGCACACGAGGAGCGGAAGUCAUUGAUGCAUGCAACACCAUCCCUACCAUGUCAACAUCAGGCCUUACUUGGUACAGAGUCAAUGCUUGCCUUUAGCCAGUUAUUCAGUGACAAAAGUGGAGAUUAUGUUGAUUUAAGAAAUAUUAUAGCAUGCAAAAAUAAGUCUCUUGCAAUUCCUUAUAAUAAAUCUCUCCACUCUGAUUGUUCA